CAGCCGCCGCGGUAAUACGAGGGGGGCAAGCGUUGUUCGGAAUUAUUGGGCGUAAAGGGUGCGUAGGCGGUUUCGUAAGUCUGAUGUGAAAUCUAUGGGCUCAACCCAUAGUCUGCAUCGGAAACUGCGAGGCUUGAGAGUGGGAGAGGUGAGUGGAAUUUCCGGUGUAGCGGUGAAAUGCGUAGAUAUCGGAAGGAACACCUGUGGCGAAAGCGGCUCACUGGACCAUUUCUGACGCUGAUGCACGAAAGCUAGGGGAGCAAACAGGAUUAGAUACCCCGGUAGUCCCUUUCUCUUAUAC
rnacentral:rRNA from 1 species